AGAGCUCUAGUUUCUCGCUCUGCCUUAGUAUUUUCUCCAUUUUCAUUUUCCCUUCUCUCUGUUAACUCAACAGUUUCCGAAAGGGUCCCGUCUUGCCAUUAUAUUUCUCAAGAUCUUUGCAUCCUUUGUUGAUGGUUUGGAGCUCUUAUUUCCUUUGUCUUUUCAGUUUGUUCUUCAUCUUAUUUUGAUUAAAAAAAUGAAUUUAUAUACCCAUAGUGCUCUCAACCGUCAAAGAUUUCAUCCAGUUCAAUGACCAUUCAACCAAAGCUACUUCAC
rnacentral:lncRNA from 1 species